rnacentral:rRNA from 1 species
UACGUAGGGUGCGAGCGUUGUCCGGAAUUAUUGGGCGUAAAGCGUACGCAGGCGGCUUUGCAAGACAGGUGUGAAAUCCCCCGGGCCUAACCUGGGAACUGCAUUUUGUGACUGCAUGGCUAGAGUUUGUCAGAGGGGGGGUGGAAUUCCACGUGUAGCAGUGAAAUGCGUAGAUAUGUGGAGGAACACCGAUGGCGAAGGCAGCCCCCCUGGGAUGUGACUGACGCUCAUGUACGAAAGCGUGGGGAGCAAACAGG